AAAAAAUAAGCGCGGAGCGGAUGGGCGGAUGAUUAUAUUUCCGUUGAUAUGCAGGCAUUCCAACAGAAGUAGAAUCUUAUUCCAAACAAAAGAAACUUGAAGAGAUCUCUACGAACUGCGAAGCUCUGCAGACAUAAUCCAACCACUAUGAUUAUAAACACUCAGAUUGCAGAAUUCUACCGACGAACCUUUGACAAUGUGCUUUCGAGUGAAGAUGUUCAGAGUGGAAUCAUAUUUGCUUUAUAUAUUUUACACCUGGAGUAUUUGGACACUGACUUCGACAUCUGCAAAAUGCACCAG